AUGCUUCCGGCCCUUAUGAUGAGACUCGAACACGGAAGGAUGUGCACAAAUGACAUUGCAAAUACUGCAAACAUAUGGUUCAGCUUUAUUUUCUUCUUCUUCUGCUAGCCUAUCAGAUAUCGACGUGACACUCUUUUCUACUCUCUCUACUUUUUCUUCACUAGUUUGACUAGCUGCAUAUAUUCCAUUUUUUUUUUGGAUUUUAUUCCAAAAAUGCUAUAUAGUCUUUUUUUUUUUUUUUUUUUUUUUUUUAGAAACUGGAUCUUUAUUCAUCUUAACUUUAUACAAUAGUGCAGGGAAGGCCCUGUAAAAUAAAGCAAACUAACAGGCCCGACCAAAUCUAAAGCCACUACUCUUAACUUAACUCCUAACUCCACCAAGAGCUUCUGCUUCAAAAAUCAAAGGACAAGAACCAUGUUGCCAGCAAUGAGUUCUGUCCCGAAGGAAUAAUCUGUCUACGGGUCAGAAGAUCCAAUCUGAGUCUCACUAUCUGCUGAACUUCUCUAAUAAGAGUACCUGGCGGCUUCUCCAAAGCUGAAUGAAUUCUCUGGUUCCUUUCCUUCCACACCAAAUACACUACUGCCUGAAAAAUGAGUGGUGUAUAGGAGACUUCCAAAUCUAAAUAUUUGCUAUAACUUUUUAUUAUUAACUUUUGUUAAUAGUAAAUAUGUUUGAUAUAACAAGUAACUCUGUAAAAAAAAAAGGCAUGUGAGUAUAUAUACGCUUUUGCAUAAUGCGACAAUUUACCCUAUGAUUCGAUAUUUGGAGUCUAUGAUUCGAUAUUUGGAGUAUGCGAGAAGUAUACAAUGAGUCUACCAACGUACGAGACUAGAGAUGACAAUCAUGGAUCUAGAACUCGAACUUGGUCUGUAAAAAACUGUUGUAAAACGGUAUUGGGAUGAAGUUUUCUAAAACCGUAAAUUUGCGGGCCUCGCAGAAUGGGUCUUUGCGGGACUGGGCUUUUUUCAUGUUUUCUUUUACCUAAAAAAACGAGGUAGAGAGUAAGAAGAAAACUAUUCUUGUGACUUUUUCCCUAAAAUACAUAAGGAGUUCUGAUGAUAAUGAUUCGAGUUCGGUGAUGAUGAUUCGAGUUCCGGCGAUGACGACACUAGCUCCAGCGACGACGAUUCGAGCUUUGGUGGUGUUUUGGUUUGGUUUUCUCUUUUUAUUACACACAACUAUGAAUUGCUUUAUUACAAUGUGAUAUUUCUUGUUUAAGUUGAUUGAUUUUAUUUCUAGUAGUGUGAAGUGGUGUUUUUCUUAAAUUAAAUUUGGUUACCAAUGGUGUUGUUUAUGAAAAAAAUUAGUUUUAUAUCGCGUCACUUGUAUAAUUUGGCAAAGUGAUUCACGAAUUUUUUUGCAAUCCGAAUAAUUAAAAAGAGAGAUGGUUUGAUGAAGACAUACAACACUUGAGCCAAAUUAUUACAAAGACAACAAUUCAAUCAGAUUCAAAUUUAACAAAAGCUUAUGUUGAUAACAAAAGAAGGAUUUUAACUCAAGAACGCAAGCACAAACAGAACUUUGUGGUAUUUAUUUUGAUAAGGUUUUAGUGAAGCUUAAUGAGCUCUCUUCAUUUCUCUUACACAACUCUUUUAUUUGAACAUUCAUGAAAGAAGCUGUAGCACAAGCGGUUUGCUAAGAAAGCGUCCCCCGGGACGGCCCGUGAAAGCCUAUAUAUUAUGCGGUAUGGGUUUGGGUCGCCAUUUUGAAGAUGCAGUCCGCGCGGGAUAGGCCCGUUGUGAUCCGCUCGAUAACUAAUCCGCCGCUGUACGGAAUGGGUAAACACAUCUCUAUACGGGACGUGUCAAGAGACUCUAAGUAGAACAGAGGGUUCAAACCCAAAAUGCAAAUAUGAAGAACACGUGAAGCUCAUGUGCAUGAUCUUUGUCAGUCGAUAAAAAAGAUAGAGGGCAUAAAGGGGAUUCCUCACACCUGUACUGUGCUUGUCCUCUUUGUCUGUCGUAUACGUUAUACGGGAUCAGAGGAGUGAGCGUGCGAUAAGAUCGUGACAAGAACACAUGAGGGCUGAACGUUUUGGAAGAGAGUAAGAGAUGUCGUGUCAAGAAGAAGACUCGAAACUUUCUUAACGUUUUCAAAUUAUUUUCAAAAGUAGAAAUAAAGAUAUGUUUGGUAACUAUGCAACAUUUGCUUCUAAUAGUAAACAUGAGAUAAGAUCAUUUUAUAUAUAAAUUUCUUCACUACGAUCAAAUCUACCAGAAACAGUUUGAGAGAGUAAGAGUGAAAGCAUGAGCUGAAAUCUUCUUACAACAAGAACAUAACAUAGCUAGAGAGACUCAAAACAGCCAGACAGCGAUUACCACUAAGCUAGACUCAAUGUCCUUUGAGACAAUAAGUUCACCAACAAAACCAGAGAAAGUUAACAUUCUUAGAGCAUCAUGAAAGAA